GGAUUGGCUCUNAGGGUUGGGUAUAGGGNNCUUGUGCUGAUGUUCGAGCUGAGCAGAAGCUACUUGACGCUUCGGGUGGAUAGUGGAUUUGGCAUGGCGAGAAUUAAGGACAAGGAACGCUUUCGGGGCUUUUCCUGUGCAGUGAACAACCAAUUCAGAACU
rnacentral:rRNA from 1 species